GCCAAGUGAGCUUUCCUUCUCUCUUGCACGUCGGCUUCCUCAGCAAGCUAAUUGGACUCUUCUUCCUUCUCCUACACGCUGAUUCCAAGGGACAAGAAAACAAAAAACAAUUUCCUCUUCUACUCUUACACCCAUCGACAGCUUCUAGAGCAAGUGAUUUCCCUUCUCCUUCUCAUUCACCCAUCGGUCCUAAGGCAAGCAAAGAGAGAAAAGAUCUCCUAAAGUCUCCUUCAUUCACACGAGAGGCUCUCGGUUUCCCUCUAGUCCACGCGACCUCUUCUUCUCCUCAAGCCGAUUCUUCCAUUUCGUAAACCUAAGAGUUUCCGUCGAAAAUCUCCAAGGGAAAAUCAACCUCCUUUGAGAGUUCGGAUUUUCUCUUCCCUUUCUCAUCUGCUGUGUAUUCCGUGGCUUAAAAAGGGGAUCAAAUCAGGUAUGAAUGAUGGGACUGUGGAGCUGGGUACUGCUGAGGAGGGAAGGGCUGAUGCUUAGUAUUCCCUGUCGGUUCGGUUUAAUGAUGAUGGUUAUAUUUUAUGUUUUAUGAUGGGUCCCAUGUUGGGACGUUUUGUUGGUUGACUUUAAGACAAUAUGUCUUUGGCAUGAUGUAGAUAUUGUGGUAGUAUGAUGGUAAUAGUGUAACUUCUAUAGUGGGGUGAUGGUAACCCCACAUAUGAAGGUUAAACGUAUUUUGGAUAUGUUGUAGGGACGGAGUCCCCUUUUUAUUGGAACUAGUGAUGUUUUAAAUGAAUGAAUGGUGGACUCUGAGAGUCCUUUGGUAA